GACGAACGCUGGCGGCGCGCUUAACACAUGCAAGUCGAGCGAGAACCGGGGCUUCGGCCCCGGGGACAGCGGCGAACGGGUGAGUAACACGUGAGUAACCUGCCCUCGGCACCGGAAUAGCCCGGGGAAACCCGGAUUAAUGCCGGAUGGCCCCUCUGCCCUGCGGGGCGGAGGGGAAAGGUAGCUUCGGCCUCCGGCCGAGGAGGGGCGCGCGGCGGAUUAGCUUGUUGGCGGGGUAACGGCCCACCAAGGCGACGAUACGUAGGUGGUCUGAGAGGACGAUCAGCCACACUGGGACUGAGACACGGCCCAGACUCCUACGGGAGGCAGGAGUGGGGAAUCUGGCGCAAUGGGCGAAAGCCUGACGCAGCGACGCCGCGUGCGGGAAGAAGGCCCUCGGGUUGUAAACCGCUUUCAGGAGGGACGAAGCCACUCGGGUGAACAGCCCAGAGGGUGACGGUACCUCCAGAAGAAGCCCCGGCUAACUACGUGCCAGCCGCCGCCGUAAAAC
rnacentral:rRNA from 1 species